GCUGCACACUAUUAAAGCUCAGGGUGGAGGCCAGUCUUGGCUCAUGAACUUCUGAGUGUCGGAAGUGUGCUACAUUAAUGGCAGGAUUUUCGCUAACAACCAGUAGAGCUUACCUCUAUGACUGGAGUUUGGUAGUACUUGCUGCCACAUAC
ensembl:snoRNA SNORA62 Small nucleolar RNA SNORA62/SNORA6 family